rnacentral:lncRNA from 1 species
CAGCAGAGACAAAUCAGGAUGAUUGAUGUAAAGGAAGUUGCCAGCAUUUUACCACCUGCAUUUUACCACCUGCAGAGUGUGCCUGAUUCAGAGUGACUGAAAUAGCCACAAAACAUUAUACAAGCUCCAAAUACAAAGAGGAGAACACUAAAUCUUUGUGGCAGGCACCCCAUAAGAGCUAUCGGGAAUCCACCUUAUAGCAGUCACCCAGGAGUGUUUGCAUUCCAGGGCAUAUAUGCGGUAAUUCACAUUCACAGUGGCCAAGGUAAAACCUGUGGAAAGUUAGUCCCUAUACCGGAAAAGUGGAUUUUACCAGAGGCCUCAGUGAUCUAGACAUCCAGCAGAGUCUGGCAUUUCUCCAGUAAUAGGGGGUGUGAACCAAAUCCCAAAUAUCUACCAACAGAGUUCCAAAAUUCACCCAACAUUAAACCCCAAAUACUGGAACGUCAUAUUUAGAACUCUGCUUUACCCCCACUAUGGUAUUACACAAUCCACCAAUAUUACAUAGUCUAUCCUAUUCUGUACUGGGAGAUCGGAAGCUGAGAGCUACUACACUUGGCUAGCAGCUAGGUGAGGAACACAAAGACGUGUGAUUUAAUAACCCCCAGCUCUUGAUCCAACGGUUACAAAGCCAAAAACAAACAUAGAGAAUGAAAAUCCAUUCCUGCCAAUAAUUUUGACCACCAAAACAGAAACAGGCCCUUUAUUUCUUACCAAGAUAUUUCUGUUUUUUCUUUUAUCUUUCUUUC